UGGACAUAUUAUUGUAUUCGACUGUAUUCAUGGCGAUAAAUAGGGAUUACACUAUUUUUAAAACGGAAAGUGAAUCAAUUAACACAAUAGACUCCU
rfam:Nicotiana attenuata strain TT chromosome 6, whole genome shotgun sequence.